AUUGAACGCUGGCGGAAGGCCUAACACAUGCAAGUCGAGCGAGCGGCGGACGGGUGAGUAAUGUAUGGGGACUGCCCUAUAGAGGGGGAUAACUACUGGAAAUGGUGGCUAAUACCGCAUACUAUCGUAUCACCCAUAUGGGAUUAGCUAGUAGGUGGGGUAAAGGCUCACCUAGGCGACGAUCUCUCGCUGGUCUGAGAGGAUGAUCAGCCACACUGGUACUGAGAGACGGCCAAGACUCCUACGGAGGCAGCAGUGGGGAAUAUUGCACAAUGGGCGCAAGCCUGAUGCAGCCAUGCCGCGUGUAUGAAGAAGGCCCUAGGGUUGUAAAGUACUUUCAGUCGGGAGGCGUUACCGACAGAAGAAGCACCGGCUAACUCCGUGCCAGCCGCCGCGGUAAUAC
rnacentral:rRNA from 1 species